CUUUUUAACGUUGGGAACUUCAGACUUAUGUGAGUGAUCUGGAAUCGCGUUGCAUAUUUUUUUGGGAUUGAUUUCAUGAGAGGAUUAAAUUGCAGUUAAAGCUAUAACUAUAAAUAUAGAGAAAGCAGCGCGAAGAGAUCCUACGAAGUUUAAAACUUCGGGAGUUUGAAUAUGGACAUAAGUGCAAAAAGAUACUUGCUGUAUUUGGAAAAUUGAACAAUGGGAAAGAAGUUUUGUUACAAAAAUUCGCAGAAGUCUCUAUCAAAUAUUUUAAUUCAUACGUAACACGCUGGUCAUCAUAUGCCGGCGAUCAAGAUGGUGGAAAAAAUCAGAUAAGUGCAGCAACUGCUCGAGAAGAAUAUCCGCAAGAAAAUGUUUAAGUGUCAUACUUUUGAGUUAACUUUGUUAACAAUUCUUCUUGUACUUUAA